AACGAACGCUGGCGGCAUGCCUAACACAUGCGAGUCGAACGAGACCUUCGGGUCCAGUGGCGCACGGGUGCGUAACGCGUGGGAACCUGCCCUUAGGUUCGGAAUAACUCCCCGAAAGGGGUGCUAAUACCGGAUAAUGUCUUCGGACCAAAGAUUUAUCGCCUUUGGAUGGGCCCGCGUUGGAUUAGCUAGUUGGUAGGGUAAAAGCCUACCAAGGCGACGAUCCAUAGCUGGUCUGAGAGGAUGAUCAGCCACACUGGGACUGAGACACGGCCCAGACUCCUACGGGAGGCAGCAGUGGGGAAUAUUGGACAAUGGGCGAAAGCCUGAUCCAGCAAUGCCGCGUGAGUGAUGAAGGCCUUAGGGUUGUAAAGCUCUUUUACCCGGGAUGAUAAUGACAGUACCGGGAGAAUAAGCGCCGGCUAACUCCGUG
rnacentral:rRNA from 1 species